GAUAUUGCAAGCUUUGAAGCGAGGGGAACGUAAACAUCAACUCACCAAGAUGGACUUGAAGAGGUGAAAACUAGACAGAAUAUGGAACACAAGUGUGACAGUUGCAUGUACUCAACAAAUCAAAUGCCUAACCUACAGAGACAUUUUAAAACUCACUUAGCAAAAGAUACAAGUACUCCUGUCAAAGAAUUAACAUUGGUAUCUAAAAUGUGCGACCAGUGUGGAAAAUCGUGUAGAUCAAAGUUUGGACUGACAUUACAUGCAAAGAACAACCACACCUUUACUUAUAAGCACACCUGUAAUUUGUGUGGCGAGGGGUUUAAUCAACGGGUGCAAUACAGGUUCCUCUGCGAAAAUUGUCAGCAUGUCAUUAGAAAAAUGUUUAUUUUACAAGAAAGAAUUUACAGCACCUGGAUCUCUAAAAAGGCAUCAAUCAAAUAUGUGAACAACAACCAGAUGGAGUUCCAGAAGGCCAGUUCGUUUGUGAACUGUGUGGCAAGUUGAUGAAAAGUAGGCAAAACCUGUAUUACUACAAAAAAAGGCACGCAUCAACCCCCAAGCUACAAGUGUAAUGAAUGCGGCAAGCUAUUUAAAUGGGAGAUCGAGCCUUAAGGUUCACAAAAGAAGUGCACAUUCAUAAAGAUUUUUAUUUGGACUGCCUUUGAUUUAAGAGUACUAAUAAACGUUUGUAAUUUA